rnacentral:rRNA from 1 species
CCUACGGGUGGCAGCAGUGGGGGAUAUUGCACAAUGGGGGGAACCCUGAUGCAGCGACGCCGCGUGGGUGAAGAAGCGCCUCGGCGCGUAAAGCCCUUUCAGCAGGGAAGAAAAUGACGGUACCUGAAGAAGAAGCCCCGGCUAACUACGUGCCAGCAGCCGCGGUAAUACGGAGGGGGCAAGCGUUCUCCGGAUUGACGGGGUGUAAAGGGGGCGCAGACGGUGCGGCAAGCCAGGCGGGAAAGCACGGGGCCCAACCCCGGGACUGCUCUGGGAACUGCGUGGCUGGAGUGCAGGAGGGGCAGGCGGAAUUCCUGGUGUAGCGGUGAAAUGCGUAGAUAUCAGGAGGAACACCGGUGGCGAAGGCGGCCUGCUGGACUGCAACUGACGUUGAGGCCCGAAAGCGUGGGGAGCAAACAGGAUUAGAUACCCGUGUAGUC